AGCAGCCGCGGUAAUUCCAGCUCCAAUAGCGUAUAUUAAAGUUGUUGCAGUUAAAAAGCUAGUAGUUGAAUUUCGGGAUUGGCGCAUCGGUCGUGCCUCACGGGGUAUGAACUGGUGCAGUCAAUUUCUCACCUUCUGGAGAACCGCGAUGUCCUUAAUUGGAUGCCGCGGGGAACCAGGACCUUUACUUUGAAAAAAUUAGAGUGUUUAAAGCAGGCAUUUUUGCUUGAAUACAUUAGCAUGGAAUAAUAAAAUAGGACGGCAUGGUUCUAUUUUGUUGGUUUCCAGGACCACCGUAAUGAUUAAUAGGGAUAGUUGGGGGCAUUAGUAUUCAAUUGUCAGAGGUGAAAUUCUUGGAUUUAUUGAAGACUAACUACUGCGAAAGCAUUUGCCAAGGAUGUUUUCAUUAACCAAGAACGAAAGUUAGGGGAUCGAAGACGAUCAGAUACCGUCGUAGUCUUAACCAUAAACUAUGCCGACUAGGAGUCAGACGAUGUUAAUUUUUUAAUGACUCGUUUGG
rnacentral:misc_RNA from 1 species